rnacentral:rRNA from 1 species
UACGGGGGGGGCAAGCGUUGUUCGGAAUUACUGGGCGUAAAGGGCUCGUAGGCGGCCAACUAAGUCGGACGUGAAAUCCCCAGGCUCAACCUGGGAACUGCGUCCGAUACUGGAUGGCUUGAAUUCGGGAGAGGGAUGCAGAAUUCCAGGUGUAGCGGUGAAAUGCGUAGAUAUCUGGAGGAACACCGGUGGCGAAGGCGGCAUCCUGGACCGGCAUUGACGCUGAGGCGCGAAAGCCAGGGGGGCAAACGGG